rnacentral:rRNA from 1 species
AACGAACGCUGGCGGCAGGCCUAACACAUGCAAGUCGAGCGGACCCUUCGGGGUUAGCGGCGGACGGGUGAGUAACGCGUGGGAAUAUGCCCUUCUCUACGGAAUAGUCCUGGGAAACUGGGGGUAAUACCGUAUACGCCCUUUGGGGGAAAGAUUUAUCGGGGAAGGAUUAGCCCGCGUUGGAUUAGGUAGUUGGUGGGGUAAUGGCCUACCAAGCCGACGAUCCAUAGCUGGUUUGAGAGGAUGAUCAGCCACACUGGGACUGAGACACGGCCCAGACUCCUACGGGAGGCAGCAGUGGGGAAUCUUAGACAAUGGGGGCAACCCUGAUCUAGCCAUGCCGCGUGAGUGAUGAAGGCCUUAGUGUUGUAAAGCUCUUUCAGCUGGGAAGAUAAUGACGGUACCAGCAGAAGAAGCCCCGGCUAACUCCGUG